UGUAAGUCCUCCUUGAACGGUCUACUGA
rnacentral:sRNA from 1 species